GAUGAACGCUGGCGGCGUGCCUAAUACAUGCAAGUCGAGCGAACAGAUGAGGAGCUUGCUCCUCUGACGUUAGCGGCGGACGGGUGAGUAACACGUGGAUAACCUACCUAUAAGACUGGGAUAACUUCGGGAAACCGGAGCUAAUAUCGGAUAAUAUAUUGAACCGCAUGGUUCAAUAGUGAAAGACGGUUUUGCUGUCACUUAUAGAUGGAUCCGCGGCGCAUUAGCUAGUUGGUAAGGUAACGGCUUACCAAGGCAACGAUGCGUAGCUGACCUGAGAGGAUGAUCAGCCACACUGGAACUGAGACACGGUCCAGACUCCUACGGGAGGCAGCAGUAGGGAAUCUUCCGCAAUGGGCGAAAGCCUGACGGAGCAACGCCGCGUGAGUGAUGAAGGUCUUCGGAUCGUAAAACUCUGUUAUUAGGGAAGAACAAAUGUGUAAGUAAAUAUGCACGUCUUGACGGUACCUAAUCAAAAAGCCACGGCUAACUACGUG
rnacentral:rRNA from 1 species